GCGUUCUAAGGGCGUUGAAGCAUGAUCGUAAGGACAUGUGGAGCGCUUAGAAGUGAGAAUGCCGGUGUGAGUAGCGAAAGACGGGUGAGAAUCCCGUCCACCGAUUGACUAAGGUUUCCAGAGGAAGGCUCGUCCGCUCUGGGUUAGUCGGGUCCUAAGCUGAGGCCGACAGGCGUAGGCGAUGGAUAACAGGUUGAUAUUCCUGUACCACCUAUAAUCGUUUUAAUCGAUGGGGGGACGCAGUAGGAUAGGCGAAGCGUGCGAUUGGAUUGCACGUCUAAGCAGUAAGGCUGAGUAUUAGGCAAAUCCGGUACUCGUUAAGGCUGAGCUGUGAUGGGGAGAAGACAUUGUGUCUUCGAGUCGUUGAUUUCACACUGCCGAGAAAAGCCUCUAGAUAGAAAAUAGGUGCCCGUACCGCAAACCGACACAGGUAGUCAAGAUGAGAAUUCUAAGGUGAGCGAGCGAACUCUCGUUAAGGAACUCGGCAAAAUGACCCCGUAACUUCGGGAGAAGGGGUGCUCUUUAGGGUUAACGCCCAGAAGAGCCGCAGUGAAUAGGCCCAAGCGACUGUUUAUCAAAAACACAGGUCUCUGCUAAACCGUAAGGUGAUGUAUAGGGGCUGACGCCUGCCCGGUGCUGGAAGGUUAAGAGGAGUGGUUAGCUUCUGCGAAGCUACGAAUCGAAGCCCCAGUAAACGGCGGCCGUAACUAUAACGGUCCUAAGGUAGCGAAAUUCCUUGUCGGGUAAGUUCCGACCCGCACGAAAGGCGUAACGAUUUGGGCACUGUCUCAACGAGAGACUCGGUGAAAUCAUAGUACCUGUGAAGAUGCAGGUUACCCGCGACAGGACGGAAAGACCCCGUGGAGCUUUACUGUAGCCUGAUAUUGAAAUUCGGCACAGCUUGUACAGGAUAGGUAGGAGCCUUUGAAACGUGAGCGCUAGCUUACGUGGAGGCGCUGGUGGGAUACUACCCUAGCUGUGUUGGCUUUCUAACCCGCACCACUUAUCGUGGUGGGAGACAGUGUCAGGCGGGCAGUUUGACUGGGGCGGUCGCCUCCUAAAAGGUAACGGAGGCGCUCAAAGGUUCCCUCAGAAUGGUUGGAAAUCAUUCAUAGAGUGUAAAGGCAUAAGGGAGCUUGACUGCGAGACCUACAAGUCGAGCAGGGUCGAAAGACGGACUUAGUGAUCCGGUGGUUCCGCAUGGAAGGGCCAUCGCUCAACGGAUAAAAGCUACCCCGGGGAUAACAGGCUUAUCUCCCCCAAGAGUUCACAUCGACGGGGAGGUUUGGCACCUCGAUGUCGGCUCAUCGCAUCCUGGGGCUGUAGUCGGUCCCAAGGGUUGGGCUGUUCGCCCAUUAAAGCGGUACGCGAGCUGGGUUCAGAACGUCGUGAGACAGUUCGGUCCCUAUCCGUCGUGGGCGUAGGAAAUUUGAGAGGAGCUGUCCUUAGUACGAGAGGACCGGGAUGGACAUACCUCUGGUGUACCAGUUGUCGUGCCAACGGCAUAGCUGGGUAGCUAUGUGUGGACGGGAUAAGUGCUGAAAGCAUCUAAGCAUGAAGCCCCCCUCAA
rnacentral:rRNA from 1 species